AGUGAACGCUGGCGGCAGGCCUAAUACAUGCAAGUCGAACGGCAGCACAGCAGAGCUUGCUCUGUGGGUGGCGAGUGGCGGACGGGUGAGGAAUACGUGGGAAUCUGCCCAGUCGUGGGGGAUAACGUAGGGAAACUUACGCUAAUACCGCAUGCGCCCUUCGGGGGAAAGCCGGGGACCUUCGGGCCUGGCGCGAUUGGAUGAGCCCACGUCGGAUUCGCCAGUUGGCGGGGUAAAGGCCCACCAAGGCGACGAUCCGUAGCUGGUCUGAGAGGAUGAUCAGCCACACUGGAACUGAGACACGGUCCAGACUCCUACGGGAGGCAGCAGUAGGGAAUAUUGGACAAUGGGCGCAAGCCUGAUCCAGCCAUGCCGCGUGAGUGAAGAAGGCCCUCGGGUUGUAAAGCUCUUUUGUCCGGAAAGAAAAGCGCCGGGUUAAUACCCUGGUGUCCUGACGGUACCGGAAGAAUAAGCACCGGCUAACUUCGUGCCAGCCGCCGCGGUAAAAC
rnacentral:rRNA from 1 species